rnacentral:tmRNA from 1 species
GGGGGUGUACUGGCUUCGAGCAGGGCGGUUAUCGCCUGGGAGAAGCGGGCCGAGAUCUCCGGAGUCUCGUAAAACGCCGGAAUCAACACAAGCGCCAACCAUGAGAACGCGCUCGCUGCCUAGCCAAUAGGUAGCUGUCCGUCCGGGAGAGGCCUGCGGCCCGGACAGGACAUCGCAAGCAGGCCUCACCGAGGAGGUUCCGUCCGGGGGCCUCCGAGGGACAUCUCACCCG